rnacentral:rRNA from 1 species
AGCCUGAACGCUGGCGGCGUGGCUAAGACAUGCAAGUCGAACGGGACCCGCAAGGGUUCAGUGGCGGACGGGUGAGUAAUGUAUCGCUAAUGUGCCCCCGGAAUCUGAGAUAGCUAGCCGAAAGGCUAGGUAAUACCAGAUGAUAUACCUUGAAGGCAUCUUCGAGGUCUCAAAGGAGUAAUCCGGUCUGGGAGCAGGCGAUAUCGUAUCAGCUAGUUGGUGAGGUAACGGCUCACCAAGGCGACGACGCGUAGCCGGGCUGAGUGGUUGGCCGGCCACAUUGGGACUGAGACACUGCCCAGACUCCGUACGGGGGGCUGCAGUAACGAAUCUUACACAAUGCACGAAAGUGUGAUGGAGCGACGCCGCGUGAGGAUGUAGUCCGUUACGGAUAGUAAACUACUGUACGAGGGAAAGAAGUUCGUAG